rnacentral:rRNA from 1 species
UACGAAGGGGGCUAGCGUUGCUCGGAAUCACUGGGCGUAAAGGGUGCGUAGGCGGGUCUUUAAGUCAGGGGUGAAAUCCUGGAGCUCAACUCCAGAACUGCCUUUGAUACUGGGAAUCUCGAGUCCGGGAGAGGUGAGUGGAACUCCGAGUGUAGAGGUGAAAUUCGUAGAUAUUCGGAAGAACACCAGUGGCGAAGGCGGCUCACUGGCCCGGUACUGACGCUGAGGUGCGAAAGCGUGGGGAGCAAACAGG